UACGUAGGGGCAAGCGUUGUCCGGAUUUAUUGGGCGUAAAGAGCGUGUAGGCGGCCAGACAGGUCCGUUGUGAAAACUCGAGGCUCAACCUCGAGAUGUCGAUGGAAACCGUCUGGCUAGAGUCCGGAAGAGGAGUGUGGAAUUCCUGGUGUAGCGGUGAAAUGCGCAGAUAUCAGGAAGAACACCUAUGGCGAAGGCAGCACUCUGGGACGGUACUGACGCUGAGACGCGAAAGCGUGGGGAGCGAACAGG
rnacentral:rRNA from 1 species